GACGAACGCUGGCGGCGUGCUUAACACAUGCAAGUCGAACGGAAAGGCCCUGCUUUUGUGGGGUGCUCGAGUGGCGAACGGGUGAGUAACACGUGAGUAACCUGUCCUUGACUUUGGGAUAACUUCAGGAAACUGGGGCUCAUACCGGAUAGGAGCUCCUGCUGCAUGGUGGGGGUUGGAAAGUUUCGGCGGUUGGGGAUGGACUCGCGGCUUAUCAGCUUGUUGGUGGGGUAGUGGCUUACCAAGGCUUUGACGGGUAGCCGGCCUGAGAGGGUGACCGGCCACAUUGGGACUGGGAUACGGCCCAGACUCCUACGGGAGGCAGCAGUGGGGAAUAUUGCACAAUGGGCGGAAGCCUGAUGCAGCAACGCCGCGUGCGGGAUGACGGCUUUCGGGUUGUAAACCGCUUUCGCCUGGGACGAAGCGUGAGUGACGGUAAUGGGUAAAGAAGCACCGGCUAACUACGUG
rnacentral:rRNA from 1 species